rnacentral:rRNA from 1 species
GACGGAGGAUGCAAGUGUUAUCCGGAAUCACUGGGCGUAAAGCGUCUGUAGGUGGUUUAAUAAGUCAACUGUUAAAUCUUGGGGCUCAACCUCAAAAUCGCAGUCGAAACUAUUAGGCUAGAGUAUAGUAGGGGUAAAGGGAAUUUCCAGUGGAGCGGUGAAAUGCGUAGAGAUUGGAAAGAACACCGAUGGCGAAGGCACUUUACUGGGCUAUUACUAACACUCAGAGACGAAAGCUAGGGUAGCAAAUGGG